UACGAAGGUGGCAAGCGUUGUUCGGAUUCAUUGGGUUUAAAGGGAGCGUAGGUGGUCUUAUAAGUCAGUGGUGAAAUCUCGCAGCUUAACUGCGAAACUGCCAUUGAUACUGUAGGACUUGAGUGUAGUUGCUGUGGGCGGAAUAUGACAUGUAGUGGUGAAAUACUUAGAGAUGUCAUAGAACACCGAUUGCGAAGGCAGCUCACAAAACUAUAACUGACACUGAGGCUCGAAAGUGCGGGGAUCAAACAGGAUUAGAAACCCUAGUAGU
rnacentral:rRNA from 1 species